rnacentral:misc_RNA from 1 species
GAAAUGCGAUAAGUAAUGUGAAUUGCAGAAUUCAGUGAAUCAUCGAAUCUUUGAACGCACCUUGCGCCCUUUGGUAUUCCGAAGGGCAUGCCCGUUUGAGUGUCAUUGUAUUCUCAAACCCCUUCAUUUUUGUGAAGUGGGUAUUGGAUUUGGAGGUCUUGCGGGUUUUUAAUUAAUCCGCUCCUCUUGAAUACAUUAGCUGGAAACCUUUUGUUAGGCUGGCUUCAGUGUGAUAAUUGUCUGCGCUGUAGUCAUCUAGCACUCGUAUAAGGAUUCCGCUUCUAAUCGUCUUUGUAUAAAGACAACUUUUUGACAUCUGACCUCAAAUCGGGUAGGACUACCCGCUGAACUUAA